rnacentral:rRNA from 1 species
UACGUAGGGUGCGAGCGUUAAUCGGAAUUACUGGGCGUAAAGCGUGCGCAGGCGGUCCGCUAAGACCGAUGUGAAAUCCCCGGGCUUAACCCUGGGAACUGCAUUGGUGACUGGCGGGCUGGAGUAUGGCAGAGGGGGGUAGAAUUCCGACGUGUAGCAGUGAAAUGCGUAGAGAUGUGGAGGAAUACCGAUGGCGAAGGCAGCCCCCUGGGCCAAUACUGACGCUCAUGCACGAAAGCGUGGGGAGCAAACAGG